rnacentral:rRNA from 1 species
UACGGAGGAUGCGAGCGUUAUCCGGAUUUAUUGGGUUUAAAGGGUGCGUAGGCGGAUCGUUAAGUCAGUGGUCAAAUUGAGGGGCUCAACCCCUUCCCGCCAUUGAAACUGGCGCCCUUGAGUGGAAGAGAAGUAUGCGGAAUGCGUGGUGUAGCGGUGAAAUGCAUAGAUAUCACGCAGAACCCCGAUUGCGAAGGCAGCAUGCCGGCUUCCGACUGACGCUGAAGCACGAAAGCGUGGGGAUCGAACAGG